GAAACGCGAUAGUUAAUGUGAAUUGCAGAAUUUAGUGAAUCAUCGAAUCUUUGAACGCACCUUGCGCUCCUUGGUAUUCCUUGGAGCAUGCCUGUUUGAGUAUCAUGAAAUCUUCAAAGUAAAUCUUUUGUUAACUCAAUUGGUUUCUACUUUGGUAUUGGAGGUCUUUGCAGCUUCACACCUGCUCCUCUUUGUUCAUUAGCUGGAUCUCAGUGUUAUGCUUGGUUCCACUCGGCGUGAUAAGUUAUCUAUCGCUGAGGACACUGUAAAAGGUGGCCAAGGUAAAUGCAGAUGAACCGCUUCUAAUAGUCCAUUGACUUGGACAAUACUUUUAUGAUCUGAUCUCAAAUCAGGUAGGACUACCCGCUGAACUUAAGC
rnacentral:misc_RNA from 1 species